rnacentral:rRNA from 1 species
GACGUAGGGCGCGAGCGUUGUCCGGAUUUAUUGGGCGUAAAGAGCUCGUAGGCGGUUUGUCGCGUCGGCCGUGAAAACUUGGGGCUUAACCCCGAGCCUGCGGUCGAUACGGGCAGACUUGAGUUCGGCAGGGGAGACUGGAAUUCCUGGUGUAGCGGUGAAAUGCGCAGAUAUCAGGAGGAACACCGGUGGCUAAGGCGGGUCUCUGGGCCGAUACUGACGCUGAGGAGCGAAAGCGUGGGGAGCGAACAGG